UGGCUCUUUCUAAGCCGGCACUCCGUAAGGACGAAGCCAUGUUCAGCUCGAGCGCCAAGAUUGUGAAGCCCAAUGGCGAGAAGCCGGACGAGUUCGAGUCUGGCAUCUCUCAGGCGCUGCUCGAGUUGGAGAUGAACUCGGAUCUGAAGGCGCAGCUGCGGGAACUCAACAUCACCGCGGCAAAGGAAAUCGAAGUCGGUGGUGGUCGAAAAGCCAUCAUAAUUUUUGUACCAGUUCCUCAGCUGAAAUCUUUCCAGAAAAUCCAAGUCCGGCUAGUUCGUGAAUUGGAGAAAAAGUUCAGUGGGAAACACGUAGUCUUCAUUGCUCAGAGGAGGAUUCUGCCCAAGCCAACCCGGAAAAGCCGUACGAAAAAUAAGCAAAAGCGCCCCAGAAGCCGCACCCUGACAGCAGUGCACGACGCCAUCCUUGAGGAUUUGGUCUUCCCAAGUGAAAUUGUGGGCAAGAGGAUCCGUGUGAAACUGGAUGGCAGCCGGCUCAUAAAAGUUCAUUUAGACAAAGCACAGCAGAACAACGUGGAGCACAAGGUCGAAACUUUUUCUGGCGUGUACAAGAAGCUCACAGGCAAGGAUGUUAACUUUGAAUUCCCAGAGUUUCAGUUGUAAAGAAAAUGACUGAAUAAAAUGUCAUUCAUAAAAAAAAAAAAAAA